rnacentral:lncRNA from 1 species
ACAAUCACUUGGAGAUAGCCAGAAAGUGUAAUGACAAGCAAGACUUAUACAUCCUGUGCUGUUAGGAAACUCAGUUAUCAGAGGAGUCAAGAAACACUCAUUGUGUCAAAGCUUUUGUGUGUGUGAGUGUGCAUGUGAGUAUAUGUGCAUGUGCAGUGGUGGUGGGAGGAAUGCAGGAUUGAGGCAGGGUGCCUGGAACAUGCAGUGUCCCUCCUGCCUCUCCUCCUGAUGUCUAGAAUGGUAGACAUGUGCCACAUACUUAUUUCAAACACACACACACACACUCUGCUCUGUCUGACACAGGUUUGGAGAGAUCAAAUAUACAAAGAGAGAACAGCAACUAGACCUCUUCCCAGGUGUUGACAACCAAGAUUAUGUUAACCCACCAAAUGAAAGUGAAAAACUCUGAUGGUUUGUAUAUGUUCAGCUCAGGGAGUAGCACUAUUAGGAAGUGUGGCCUUGUUGGAGGAAGUGUGUCAUUGUGGGGGUGGGAUUUAAGAGAGCUUCCUUUUAGCUCACCUGGAAGAGAGUCUUCUCCUGGAUGCCUUCAGAUCAAGAUGUAGAACUCUCAGCUCCUCCAGCACCAUGUCUGCUUGGACCCUGCCAUGCUUCCUGUCAUGAUGAUAAUGGACUGAUCCUCUGAAACUGUAAGCCAGCCCCAAUUAAAUGUCC